CCUACGGGAGGCAGCAGUGAGGAAUAUUGGUUAAUGGACGAGAGUCUGAACCAGCCAAGUAGCGUGAAGGAUGACUGCCCUAUGGGUUGUAAACUUCUUUUAUAAAGGAAUAAAACGAGGCACGCGUGCCUUUUUGCAUGUACUUUAUGAAUAAGGAUCGGCUAACUCCGUGCCAGCAGCCGCGGUAAUACGGAGGAUCCGAGCGUUAUCCGGAUUUAUUGGGUUUAAAGGGUGCGUAGAUGGGUUGUUAAGUCAGUUGUGAAAGUUUGCGGCUCAACCGUAAAAGUGCAUUUGAUACUGGCAGUCUUGAGUACAGGUGAGGUAGGCGGAAUUCGUGGUGUAGCGGUGAAAUGCUUAGAUAUCACGAAGAACCCCGAUUGCGAAGGCAGCAUACUAAACUGUAACUGACGUUGAUGCUCGAAAGUGUGGGUAUCGAACAGGAUUAGAUACCCGGGUAGUC
rnacentral:rRNA from 1 species